rnacentral:tRNA from 1 species
GGGGUUGUGGAUCCGUGGUUGAGCACUUGCCUGGCAGGCAUGAGGCACUGGGUUCGAUUCCCAGCACCACA